rnacentral:rRNA from 1 species
AUGCUGGUGCGGACCCUGCACUGGAUGGUGCCGUCAUACGCCAUCUGGGGCUUGCCAUUCUUCCUGUUUUACUCGACACGUUUCUCCCAGCUCUUCUACGAGCGGCCCAACCAGAGCUUCUUCAGAUCCCUCCUCUGCCGCCUCAUGAGCCCACUGCGGGCAGGGGUGUCGAAGUUCAUCGAGUCGUACCUGUUGUGGAAGCUGCCGCUGGGCAAGUACGGUCUGACGCCGGACCACCCCUUUGUCGAGGACUACGCCAGCUGCCAACUGGCCUUCCUCCCGGAGGGCUUCUUCGACAUGGCUGACCACGGCCUGGUGCGCUUCAAGAGGGCCCCCGACGGGUGGUGGCUCUCGGAGAUCGGCGUCGUCCUCGAAGACGGCACCGGGGUGGAGGCCGACCUCGUCUUCCUCGCCACCGGCUUCGAGGGCACGGACAAGCUCCGCGAGGUCCUCCCUAAGCCCUUCCGCGGCCUCCUCGUCGACGAGUCCUCCAUGAUGCCCCUCUACCACGGCACGAUCCACCCGCUGAUCCCGAACAUGGCAUUCGUGGGGUUCGUGGAGAGCGCAUCGAACCUGCACACGUCGGAGCUGCGGUGCCGAUGGCUGGCGGGGCUGCUGGAGGGGCGAUUCGAGCUGCCUACCGUGCAGGCCAUGAUGAGGCACGUCGCCGGCGAGGCCGACGCCAUGCGUCGCACCACGCGGUUCUACCGCCGGCACUGCAUCUCCACCUACAGCAUCCACGACAGCGACGGCAUGUGCGCCGACCUGAGCUCCGCCACGCACCGCAAGACCAACUGGAUCUCCGAGCUCUUCGCUCCAUACAACAAGGAGGACUACAAGCAACAGUAA